GGGGGCCACAACCCAGGAAUGGAGGUGGCCUCCAGAAGCUGGAGAAAACAAGGAAGCAUAUUCUUCCCCGGAAACUCCAGGAAGAUCCAUCCUUGCCAACAAGUUGAUUUUAAUUUUGUCAAGCGAACUUCAGAGUCCUCAUCUUCAGAGCCGUUAUUGGAUAGGCUCCUUGUUAAAACUGCAUGAAAAGAAAAAAGAUUCCAUUGGACCAACAGCAGUGAUUCCACGAAUGAUAGUGAAAGCCGUCCUACACAGUAACCCUCCUCUCUCUGGUCUCCCUCACACAAGCCACGAACGUUUUGAAAGGUCAAAACUCGGGUGAGGGGAAACAUUUCAGUGCAAAAGAAGCAAAAUGUUUUAGAAUCGCGUUGUUUUCCUUUUUUCAAGAAAAAAAAAAAAGUGUUUCGAAUUCACUGAUUACACUUCAUUACCCCGCGAUGCACUUGAACACAUUAACACAGCAAGACGAAUAUGUAAUAAAAAAGAGGAUGCCUCUCUUAAUCCUUCCUGUCAAAUUUAAAGAGAUACCAAUCAGCCAAACGCCUCGCUAAGAGUCAUGAGACUGCUGUUUUAAUUAGCUGGUGAUAUUUUUGACUAAAGAAUCUCAGAUGAUGAAACCGUUUUUUUCCUUGUAUUGAACCAGCUUGGCCCAGACUAGCCUGUCCCGCAGUGACAUGUAUAUUGAAUACAAAUCAGACGGCAGCUUUAAGUCUGUGUUGCAGCUCUCAUUUCCAAUUCGAGAACUGUACUAUAAUCAUAAGCUUCUGGUGGAUGAAAGGAAAUCAGCUCUCUGAAUAUUAGCUAAUGCCACAUUUGCAAGUCCUGAAGAGAUCUGUGCUGUUAAAAAAAAAAAAAUAGAUCAUUUCGCGUGAACCUAUAUAUAUGAAUUGCUUUGUACUGCUGAACUGAUAGAAGCAAUGCCUGUGCUGGGAUUAAACCCCUUUUCAUCAUAAAACCUCAUCUGGUUCGGAGUCCAAGUCCAUCAAACCUUUUUCCUUUAAAGUCCCGCCUUUGAUUCUACAUCAAUUUAUUCAAACCGCAGCUGGGUGGCUGAAAACGAAAGGACAGCAUCAUUUAAACCAACCAUGUUCCCAACUUGAAAGAAGGGCUAUAAUUAAAAAAAUGGGCAUAAAAGAAUGGAAAUGGGAUAAUAUUUUUUAAUGGUAGUUCAAAGGCCGACAGAUGUCAGAGCCUUUGAAGAUGUCAGUACACUGAGCAAGAAGUUGCCAUGAAAGAGCUUGCCUGAGAGGUGAAGCAGCUUGUUAAUGGCUGAAAAAACCCUUGCAGACACAUCCUUGUGUUUUUAAUUUGUCAGA